CCUACGGGUGGCUGCAGUGGGGAAUAUUGGACAAUGGGCGAAAGCCUGAUCCAGCCAUGCCGCGUGUGUGAAGAAGGCCUUCGGGUUGUAAAGCACUUUCAGUGGGGAAGAAAGCCUUGGGGCUAAUACCCUCGAGGAAGGACAUCACCCACAGAAGAAGCACCGGCUAACUCCGUGCCAGCAGCCGCGGUAAUACGGAGGGUGCGAGCGUUAAUCGGAAUUACUGGGCGUAAAGCGCGCGUAGGCGGUCUGAUAAGCCGGUUGUGAAAGCCCCGGGCUCAACCUGGGAACGGCAUCCGGAACUGUCAGGCUAGAGUGCAGGAGAGGAAGGUAGAAUUCCCUGUGUAGCGGUGAAAUGCGUAGAGAUCGGGAGGAAUACCAGUGGCGAAGGCGGCCUUCUGGACUGACACUGACGCUGAGGUGCGAAAGCGUGGGUAGCAAACAGGAUUAGAUACCCGAGUAGUC
rnacentral:rRNA from 1 species